rnacentral:tRNA from 1 species
GCCCACGUGACGAAAUCGGUAGACGUAGCGGACUCAAAAUCCGCCGCCGCAAGGCGUGCCAGUUCGAGUCUGGCCGUGGGCACCA